rnacentral:rRNA from 1 species
GAUGAACGCUGGCGGCGUGCCUAAUACAUGCAAGUCGAGCGAACGGACGAGAAGCUUGCUUCUCUGAUGUUAGCGGCGGACGGGUGAGUAACACGUGGAUAACCUACCUAUAAGACUGGGAUAACUUCGGGAAACCGGAGCUAAUACCGGAUAAUAUUUUGAACCGCAUGGUUCAAAAGUGAAAGACGGUCUUGCUGUCACUUAUAGAUGGAUCCGCGCUGCAUUAGCUAGUUGGUAAGGUAACGGCUUACCAAGGCAACGAUGCAUAGCCGACCUGAGAGGGUGAUCGGCCACACUGGAACUGAGACACGGUCCAGACUCCUACGGGAGGCAGCAGUAGGGAAUCUUCCGCAAUGGGCGAAAGCCUGACGGAGCAACGCCGCGUGAGUGAUGAAGGUCUUCGGAUCGUAAAACUCUGUUAUUAGGGAAGAACGUAUGUGUAAGUAACUGUGCACAUCUUGACGGUACCUAAUCAGAAAGCCACGGCUAACUACGUGCCAGCAGCCGCGGUAAUACGUAGGUGGCAAGCGUUAUCCGGAAUUAUUGGGCGUAAAGCGCGCGUAGGCGGUUUUUUAAGUCUGAUGUGAAAGCCCACGGCUCAACCGUGGAGGGUCAUUGGAAACUGGAAAACUUGAGUGCAGAAGAGGAAAGUGGAAUUCCAUGUGUAGCGGUGAAAUGCGCAGAGAUAUGGAGGAACACCAGUGGCGAAGGCGACUUUCUGGUCUGUAACUGACGCUGAUGUGCGAAAGCGUGGGGAUCAAACAGGAUUAGAUACCCUGGUAGUCCACGCCGUAAACGAUGAGUGCUAAGUGUUAGGGGGUUUCCGCCCCUUAGUGCUGCAGCUAACGCAUUAAGCACUCCGCCUGGGGAGUACGACCGCAAGGUUGAAACUCAAAGGAAUUGACGGGGACCCGCACAAGCGGUGGAGCAUGUGGUUUAAUUCGAAGCAACGCGAAGAACCUUACCAAAUCUUGACAUCCUUUGACAACUCUAGAGAUAGAGCCUUCCCCUUCGGGGGACAAAGUGACAGGUGGUGCAUGGUUGUCGUCAGCUCGUGUCGUGAGAUGUUGGGUUAAGUCCCGCAACGAGCGCAACCCUUAAGCUUAGUUGCCAUCAUUAAGUUGGGCACUCUAAGUUGACUGCCGGUGACAAACCGGAGGAAGGUGGGGAUGACGUCAAAUCAUCAUGCCCCUUAUGAUUUGGGCUACACACGUGCUACAAUGGACAAUACAAAGGGCAGCGAAACCGCGAGGUCAAGCAAAUCCCAUAAAGUUGUUCUCAGUUCGGAUUGUAGUCUGCAACUCGACUAUAUGAAGCUGGAAUCGCUAGUAAUCGUAGAUCAGCAUGCUACGGUGAAUACGUUCCCGGGUCU